UAGGGAAUCUUCCGCAAUGGACGAAAGUCUGACGGAGCAACGCCGCGUGAGUGAAGAAGGCCUUCGGGUCGUAAAACUCUGUUGCCGGGGAAGAACAAGUGCCGUUCGAAUAGGGCGGCGCCUUGACGGUACCCGGCCAGAAAGCCACGGCUAACUACGUGCCAGCAGCCGCGGUAAUACGUAGGUGGCAAGCGUUGUCCGGAAUUAUUGGGCGUAAAGCGCGCGCAGGCGGCUUCUUAAGUCUGAUGUGAAAUCUUGCGGCUCAACCGCAAGCGGUCAUUGGAAACUGGGAGGCUUGAGUGCAGAAGAGGAGAGUGGAAUUCCACGUGUAGCGGUGAAAUGCGUAGAGAUGUGGAGGAACACCAGUGGCGAAGGCGGCUCUCUGGUCUGUAACUGACGCUGAGGCGCGAAAGCGUGGGGAGCAAACAGG
rnacentral:rRNA from 2 species